CUACGGGCCGCAGCAGUGGGGAAUAUUGGGCAAUGGGCGCAAGCCUGACCCAGCAACGCCGCGUGAGGGAAGAAGGUUUUCGGAUUGUAAACCUCUGUCCUUGGGGACGAAGAAGUGACGGUACCCAAGGAGGAAGCUCCGGCUAACUACGUGCCAGCAGCCACGGUAAUACGUAGGGAGCAAGCGUUGUCCGGAAUUACUGGGCGUAAAGGGUGCGUAGGCGGCAUAUUAAGUCAGGUGUGAAAUACUCGGGCUCAACCCGGGGGCUGCAUUUGAAACUGAUAUGCUUGAGUGUGAGAGAGGAAAGUGGAAUUCCUAGUGUAGCGGUGGAAUGCGUAGAUAUUAGGAGGAACACCAGUGGCGAAGGCGACUUUCUGGCUCAUAACUGACGCUGAGGCACGAAAGCGUGGGGAGCAAACAGGAUUAGAUACCCCUGUAGUC
rnacentral:rRNA from 1 species